rnacentral:rRNA from 1 species
UCAAGCGAAGAAGGGCGCAGGGCGGAUGCCUUGGCACUGAGAGCCGAUGAAAGACGUGAUAAGCUGCGAUAAGCUUCGGGGAGGAGCAAAUAUCCUUUGAUCCGGAGAUCUCUGAAUGGGGAAACCCGGCUGUAUGGACUACAGUCAUCCAUAAGUGAAUCCAUAGCUUAUGGAAGGGAACCCGGGGAACUGAAACAUCUAAGUACCCGGAGGAAGAGAAAGAAACAUCGAUUCCGUAAGUAGCGGCGAGCGAACGCGGAAGAGCCCAAACCGUGAUGCGUGCAUCGCGGGGUUCGGACUGCAGAAGGGAUUCAGCAACGACAGGAGAACGGCUUUGGAACAGCCGGCCAGAGAGGGUGAGAGCCCCGUAUCCAAAGUCAGAGCUGACCUGGCAGGAUCCAGAGUACCACGGGACACGGGAAACCCUGUGGGAAGGAGCGGAGACCACUCCGUAAGGCUAAAUACUACUCAGUGACCGAUAGCGUAUAGUACUGUGAAGGAAAGGUGAAAAGAACCCCGGGAGGGGAGUGAAAGAGAACCUGAAACCCUGUGUCUACAAGCUGUGGAAGUACUUCUUAGGUACGACCGCGUACUUUUUGUAGAACGGUCCGGCGAGCUGCGGGUACUGGCAAGGUUAAGUACUUAAGGUACGGAGCCGUAGGGAAACCAAGUCUUAAUAGGGCGAAUCAGUCAGUACGUGCAGGCCCGAAACCGGGUGACCUAUCCAUGUCCAGGUUGAAGCCGCCGUAAAAGGCGAUGGAGGACCGAACCCACAUCCGUUGAAAAGGGUGGGGAUGAGGUGUGGAUAGCGGAGAAAUUCCAAUCGAACCCGGAGAUAGCUGGUUCUCCUCGAAAUAGCUUUAGGGCUAGCCUCAUACAAGUCUGCCGGAGGUAGAGCACUGAAUUUCCGCGGGGGCGUCAAAGCCUACCAAAGAAUAUCAAACUCCGAAUGCCGGACAGAUGGUGUAUGGGAGUCAGACUGUACGAGAUAAGUUGGACAGUCAAAAGGGAAAGAGCCCAGACCGCCGGCUAAGGUCCCAAAGUGGGUGUUAAGUGGAAAAGGAUGUGGGAUCUCUAAGACAACCAGGAUGUUGGCUCAGAAGCAGCCAUUCAUUAAAAGAGUGCGUAACAGCUCACUGGUCGAGAGGUCCUGCGCCGAAAAUGUCCGGGGCUGAAACACCACACCGAAGCCGCGGAACUCGUAAGAGUUGGUAGAGGAGCAUUCUUAGGGGAGGGAAGCAUUACCGGAAGGGGAUGUGGACUGCUAAGAAGAGAGAAUGCCGGAAUGAGUAGCGAGAGCAAGGUGGGAAUCCUUGCGGCCGAAUAUCCAAGGUUUCCAGAGUAAAGCUGAUCUGCUCUGGGUAAGUCGGGGCCUAAGGAGAGGCAGAGAUGCGUAUCCGAUGGACAGCAGGUAAAAGAUUCCUGCACCCCUUGUUAUCAGAACUGCGGGGACACGGGAAGGGAAGCAGAGCUGGGAAUGGAAAGCCCGGUGCAAGCGAAGUAGUCGCAGGAUUGGAAAAUCCGUCCUGCAUAAGACGAAGGCGUGAUGCGGAGCGAAACAAAGUAGCGAAGCUGCGGCCCCUUCCUGUCGAGAAAAGCCGCUAUCGUGUAGCAAGGGCCCGUACCGUAAACCGACACAGGUGGAUGAGGAGAGGAUCCUAAGGCCGGCGGGAGAAGUGUUGUUAAGGAACUCGGCAAAAUGACUCCGUAUCUUCGGGAGAAGGAGUGCUGCGCAAGCAGCCGCAGUGAAAUGGCCCAAGCAACUGUUUAGCAAAAACACAGGUCUAUGCGAAACCGAAAGGAGAUGUAUAUGGGCUGACGCCUGCCCGGUGCUGGAAGGUUAAGGGGAGAGCUUAGCGCAAGCGAAGGUUUGAACUUAAGCCCCAGUAAACGGCGGCCGUAACUAUAACGGUCCUAAGGUAGCGAAAUUCCUUGUCGGGUAAGUUCCGACCCGCACGAAAGGCGUAAUGAUUUGGGCACUGUCUCAACAACACACCCGGUGAAAUUGAAAUACCAGUGAAGAUGC